UACGAAGGGGGCUAGCGUUGUUCGGAAUUAUUGGGUUUAAAGGGUGCGUAGGCGGCCCGUUAAGUCAGUGGUGAAAGCCUCCAGCUCAACUGGAGAACUGCCAUUGAUACUGGCGGGCUUGAGUACAGACGAGGUAGGCGGAAUUGAUUGUGUAGCGGUGAAAUGCAUAGAUACAAUCAAGAACACCGAUUGCGUAGGCAGCUUACUAGGCUGUAACUGACGCUGAGGCACGAAAGCGUGGGGAGCGAACAGG
rnacentral:rRNA from 1 species